AAGGGUAUGACUUAACUAAAAUACUAUAGUUUGUUGUGCUAUCCAUAAGGCUAUAAGUAUUUUAGGGGCAAAAGUUAUGUUAGAGUUGCAUGAGAUGCAAUUAGUAAAUAGUUACUUAUCCUUAAAUUCAUAAGAGCUUGUUAUGCUAUUCACAAGACUUUUUAUGAAAAAUUGAGAUCUCAACCCCACUAUAAAACUUUAUGAUAAGGUUCUUCGAUUUCAUACUUGAGGACUAUGAAAUUCAUUAAAAU
rnacentral:lncRNA from 1 species